rfam:Otolemur garnettii contig059044, whole genome shotgun sequence.
CCAAAGGCUCUUUUCAGAGCCACCACGUAUUCGUUAAAAGGGCUUG